AAAGAAAACAGAAAAACAAGCAAACAAAAAAACUCAAACAUGGCAUCAAAAAUUUUAAUUUCAAGCGUUUGCUUACUGUCACUUGUGAUCCUGGUCGUUUCUCUACCGACUUAUGGGGCUCAGAAGCCUGUGGAUUUUACUUACGAAGAAAUUAAUCCUCCACAGCUUCCUCGUAACGUCAUUAGUAAUAAGUGUUCUAUGAGAAGUGCCCACCGCGCCCUCUGUGAACGAUGUGCCAAGACCGUUGACAGCACGGAGGUGUAUAUAAAAUGCUGUAAUGGAGUAGAGAAAGUUGAAAACUGGUGCUAUAAGUUUCUGACGUACAACUUAAACUUUAUAUAGCUAUGACAACUCUCUUGCAUAACGGUAACUGAUAACAGUAGCGAAUUUCGGACAGAUCUGCCUGUCAUAUUUCUAAAGUAGCUUUCUUCUUAUGAACUUUAAACAACACAAAACUUUGCAUUUAACUUUCUAUAAGUAUCGUCUAAAAAGGUUCUUAUAGCUUUUAAACAGUAAUUCGAAACAUUCGUGUCAGCAUGCUUUAAGUUUGUCAUUGUUAAACCGAGUGUAUUGCAAGGGCAGGUUCAAAUACUUCCAAAACAUUCCAGUUAGGCUUAACGUUACAGUUGUUAAUUUAUUGUAGUUAUUUAUUAUAAACGUUCUUCAGUAAAUACAUAUUUUGAAUAAAUCUUUUUUUGUUUGUUUCAAACGAGUUUCUUUCUUUUAAACAACCUUAAACCUCAUUGUAAUACCUGUAAUAAUGUUACAAAUUUGUUCAACUCGAAAUGAAAAUAAGUGACACAUUCGUAGUGAUUUUGUUAUAUUCGUAUACACUCCGGUUCGACGUUCAGAUGCUGUAGAUUAGCAAUGAAAUAAAAAUAAUAAAACCUCUGUUAUGAACUA